rnacentral:rRNA from 1 species
UACGUAGGGGGCAAGCGUUGGUCCGGAAUCAUUGGGCGUAAAGAGCGCGUAGGCGGCCCUGUAAGUCCGCUGUGAAAGUCAAGGGCUCAACCCUUGGAUGCCGGUGGAUACUGCAGGGCUAGAGUCCGGAAGAGGCGAGUGGAAUUCCUGGUGUAGCGGUGAAAUGCGCAGAUAUCAGGAAGAACACCGAUGGCGAAGGCAGUUCUCUGGGACGGUGACUGACGCUGAGACGCGAAGCGUGGGGAGCGAACAGG